rnacentral:rRNA from 1 species
UGGGGAAUAUUGCGCAAUGGGGGAAACCCUGACGCAGCGACGCCGUGUGAGGGAAGAAGGCUCUCGGGUCGUAAACCUCUGUCAGGAAGGAAGAACCUCUCAAGGCUGAACAAGCCUUGGGACUGACGGUACUUCCAGAGGAAGCACCGGCUAACUCCGUGCCAGCAGCCGCGGUAAUACGGAGGGUGCAAGCGUUAAUCGGAAUCACUGGGCGUAAAGGGUGCGCAGGCGGAUGGGUAAGUCAGGGGUGAAAGUCUGCAGCUUAACUGUAGAAUGGCCUUUGAUACUGCUCAUCUUGAGUGUGGGAGGGGUUGAUGGAAUUUCAGGUGUAGCAGUGAAAUGCGUAGAUAUCUGGAAGAACACCAGUGGCGAAGGCGGUCAACUGGCCCAUAACUGACGCUCAUGCACGAAAGCGUGGGGAGCAAACA